rnacentral:rRNA from 1 species
UACGGGGGGAGCAAGCGUUGUUCGGAUUUACUGGGCGUAAAGGGCGCGUAGGCGGCCACCGCAAGUCGAUUGUGAAAUCUCCGGGCUUAACCCGGAAAGGUCAACCGAUACUGCGGGACUAGAGUGCAGAAGGGGCAACUGGAAUUCUCGGUGUAGCGGUGAAAUGCGUAGAUAUCGAGAGGAACACCUGCGGCGAAGGCGGGUUGCUGGGCUGACACUGACGCUGAAGCGCGAAAGCUAGGGGAGCGAACGGG